GAUGGAACAAAACCAGACGAUAGCCACGUUAUCCGCCACCAAGGCGAGCCUUCAACAGUGUAUUCUGGAGGCGAGGAGCCGCUACCAGAGGCUGAGAGAAGCUAAUUCUUGGUUAAAAGAAUUUAAAUCCAGGCUGGCGCACACAAUCUUGGAGCAG